AAAAUCAAGUAUUGAGUAUACAUAUAUAGAACAUUGAAUUAAGGCUUUAUCAGCUUCAAGUACUUGUAUAGAGAACUAAUGAAACAGUGAUGGGUUUUUACAAAGCUUAGAACUUCAUUCAAAACAAAAUAUGUAUGUUUUUAAAAUAAUAAUAAUAAUAACUUUUUCGUGGUGUAGCCCAGCAGGGCAAGUCCAACGGAAUUAUGACAAGAUGAAAAUAGAAAAAAGAAAGAAAGGGGCUGAGGCUAGAAGGAGCUGGUGGCUUGUUGAUGGCCAUGAUGGCCAUGACGACCAUGACGGCGUGAGGGGAAGUGGGAUGUCGAUAGGUUUUCCUGAAAGCAAAAUUGCACCGGUUUGGCAGCAGAAAAAACUCCACCACUGCGGUCAGCUACGCCGUCUACAGAUGUACGAGUAUCUUGGAUGGAGGAUUUCCUCACAUUAUCGGCGUUGCCUUUCCAGCGGAACCAAAUAGAAAUAUCUUUUCGAAACCAUUUCUUGCGUGCCAGCCAGCCAGCCAGCCAGCCACUGAGGCAAUCAAUUGGAUUUCCUAAUUAUUCACAUAUCGCAUCGCUGUGCUUCCCAUUGCUUUUUCGGCCUAAACGAAAUUGAAACUUUGCAAAUUCGAUUAAUGUUAUGACAGCUGCAGCCAAAUACGGAAUGUUUGCGCAGCGCUGAUCGUGGCUUAAAUUAUGCAUUGAGGCAAACGCCAAGGAGGGGUGCAAACUCGCAGUGGGACGGCAAAGAUUCAGUUCGAGGAGUAAAUGGCAACCCACAUGGGUUUCAACAUGGAGAACGUUGUAGACGAUUCUCGCUCAGAUCGUAAUGCCACACAAC